rnacentral:rRNA from 1 species
UGAAGAUAUUAAGGGCACACGGUGGAUGCCUUGGCAUCAGAAGUCGAUGAAGGACGUGACAAGCUGCGAUAAGCUGCGGUGAGCUGCAAAUAGGCUUUGACCCGCAGAUUUCCGAAUGGGGGAACCCACCUAGGGUCAUGCCUAGGUACUCUCACUUGAAUAUAUAGAGUGAGUAGAGGCAACCUGGGGAACUGAAACAUCUAAGUACCCAGAGGAAAAGAAAUCAACCGAGAUUUCCAGAGUAGUGGCGAGCGAAAUGGAAAGAGCCUAAACCUGCGUAUGUGUAAGCGUUGGAGUGUUGCUGCGCAAGGUGUUGUAGGGUCGUUUAUUCUUUGAGUCCAACCUCUUAGACGUAGUUACAAAGUGUUGUUAUAGCAAAAUGGUAUGGAAAGGCCAACCAGAGCAGGUUAAAGUCCUGUAUGCGAAAUAGCAGCACCUACGAAAACGAUACCUGAGUAAUGCCGGACACGUGAAAUCCGGUAUGAAGCUAGGGAGACCACUCUCUAAGGCUAAAUAUUCUCUGAUGACCGAUAGCGAACCAGUACCGUGAGGGAAAGGUGAAAAGUACCCCGAGAGGGGAGUGAAAUAGUACCUGAAACCGUGUGCCUACAAGCAGUCGGAGCAGCUUUAUGCUGUGACGGCGUGCCUUUUGUAGAAUGAGCCUACGAGUUACGGUAUGCGGCGAGGUUAAGUUUUUAAACGAGCCGUAGCGAAAGCGAGUCUUUAAACGGGCGACUAGUCGUAUGCUGUAGACGCGAAGCCGAGUGAGCUAUCCAUGGGCAGGCUGAAGCAGAGGUAAGACUCUGUGGAGGGCCGAACCCACUUCGGUUGAAAACGGAGGGGAUGACCUGUGGAUAGGAGUGAAAGGCUAAUCAAACUCGGAGAUAUCUCGUUCUCCCCGAAAUAGCUUUAGGGCUAGCCUCGAUUGUUCAAUUACGCUGGUAGAGCACUGGAAUUUCGCGGGGGCUUCACCGCCUACCAACAAAUACCAAACUCCGAAUGGCGUAAUUUUAGAAAUCGGGAGUCAGAAUAUGUGGGCUAAGCUGUGUAUUCGAAAGGGAAACAGCCCAGACCGCCCGCUAAGGUCCCUAAGUUCAUGCUAAGUGGCAAAGGAUGUGCGUUUGCCUAGACAACCAGGAUGUUGGCUUAGAAGCAGCCAUGCAUUUAAAGAGUGCGUAAUAGCUCACUGGUCAAGUGGACAUGCGCCGACAAUUCACGGGGCUAAGCAUGAGACUGAUUUUAAUCAGUGGUAGGGGAGCUUUCUAUACUGGGUUGAAGCAGGCUGGUAAUGGUCUGUGGACUGUAUAGAAGUGAGAAUGUAGGCAUGAGUAACGAGAGAAGUGCGAGAAACACUUCCGCCGUAAGCCUAAGGGUUCCUGGGCAAGGCUAAUCCUCCCAGGGUCAGUCGGGAGCUAAGGCGAGGCCGCAAGGCGUAGUCGAUGCACAACAGGUUGAUAUUCCUGUACCACCAAUAUGACGUUAUUACCAAUGGGGUGACGGAGAAGGAUAGCUGAGCGGGGUUCUGGACGUCCCCGUGAAAGCGUGUAGGGUUGGAUGUAGGCAAAUCCGCAUCCAGUAUGCCUGAGACGUUAGACGAAGCAAUUGUGUGAAGUCAGCAAGUCCAUGCUUCCAAGAAAAACCUCUAGGGAGACAUGUUGGUGCCCGUACCAAAACCGACACAGGUAGGCGGGUAGAACAUACCAAGGCGAUCGGGAGAACUAUGGUUAAGGAACUCGGCAUAUUGACUCCGUAACUUCGGGAGAAGGAGUGCCUCUGUUGGUGAAAGGAUUUACUCCUCGAGCUGACGGAGGUCGCAGUGAAACGGCCCAAGCGACUGUUUAUCAAAAACACAGGACUCUGCUAAGUCGUAAGACGAUGUAUAGGGUCUGACGCCUGCCCGGUGCUGGAAGGUUACGUGGAUGGGUUAGCGCAAGCGAAGCUUUGAAACUAAGCCCCAGUAAACGGCGGCCGUAACUAUAACGGUCCUAAGGUAGCGAAAUUCCUUGUCGGGUAAGUUCCGAC